AAUUGUAGUAAUAUGAAGCAGACGCGGUGAGUAAGACACGUCGAGGUAUGGCAAUGUUGACAUCUGGAGGCUCGCUGUUUUGGUGACCGUCAGUGACAGAAUGAGUGACAUUGGUGCGUGGUUUAAUAACAUACCCCCGCUGACCAAAACUUGGUUCGGGGGUACGAUUGGCUUAUCACUACUUGGUCGAUUUCGGCUAAUCAACCCUCGUUGGGUAAUUUUGACCUUUGAAAUCUUUCAGAGUUUUCAGUUAUGGAGGCCUGUGACGGCAUUGUUUUACUACCCCAUAACCCCACAGACGGGCUUUCAUUUUCUUCUUAACUGCUAUUUCCUGUAUAACUACUCUCUCAGGUUAGAAACAGGUAAAU